CUUCCUUAACCUCUGAAACCUCAUUGCAAGCCAAGUCAUUUGUCCCUAGAUGGAUAAAUACAUCCAAUUCCCCUUCCUGCUUUGCUCGCUUAACAAUAUUACAAAUACGUCUCCUGUCUCUGUGGGCAGUAGCUCCAGGAAGACAUCACACAAGACCACCAUUGUCCAUCUCCACACUUCUUAUGAUAGAAUCCCCCAACAACAACAGCCUUCUAUUAGGCCUCACCAUAGUCUCCAAGCCUGUCUCCACAACACCACUACCCUCGGUGCCCGAGCCUGUCUCCACAACACCACUACCCUCAGUGCCUGAGUCUGUCUCCACAACACCACUACCCUCAGUGCCUGAGCCUGUC